rnacentral:rRNA from 1 species
AGCGAACGCUGGCGGCAGGCCUAAUACAUGCAAGUCGAGCGCACCUUCGGGUGAGCGGCGGACGGGUGAGUAACGCGUGGGAACGUGCCCUUUGGUACGGAACAACUGAGGGAAACUUCAGCUAAUACCGUAUGUGCCCUUCGGGGGAAAGAUUUAUCGCCAUUGGAGCGGCCCGCGUUGGAUUAGGUAGUUGGUGGGGUAAUGGCCCACCAAGCCUACGAUCCAUAGCUGGUCUGAGAGGAUGAUCAGCCACACUGGGACUGAGACACGGCCCAGACUCCUACGGGAGGCAGCAGUAGGGAAUCUUGCGCAAUGGGCGAAAGCCUGACGCAGCCAUGCCGCGUGAAUGAUGAAGGUCUUAGGAUUGUAAAAUUCUUUCACCGGGGAAGAUAAUGACGGUACCCGGAGAAGAAGCCCCGGCUAACUUCGUGCCAGCCGCCGCAGUAAGAC